rnacentral:sRNA from 1 species
AGAAGUAAAAAUACAUGUUUGAGAGCCUUAUAUUUGGGAGUUUUGUGUUGUAUUUUUUUUUCCUUACAGUGCUAGAUUCUUUCCCUUAAUUCCACACAGAUCCCAUCGCUACAAUAUGUGAGCAGAUGAAACCCUGAUUAGUCCCAGAAUGCUACGAAGGGGAAGAGGAGGACGUUUAUUAGAGUAUGCUGAGCUGCUGUGGAAUGACAGAAAAACAAAGUCUCUGUAAGAAUACAAAGAUUGACUUCUGCCAUCACCAUCAACUACGUCAGGGACCUGGAGCCCUUUGCUGGAUGCAGCUGGUCCUUCCAUGGGGCUGCUUACCUCAUGGGAUGCUCAGACAAACAUCUUCUUUUCUUUUGGGAUUCAGAUAUGAGCAAUAUUAUCUUGCAUCACAUAUGAUUACAAUAAAAAUAUACAAUGUCUUUC